rnacentral:rRNA from 1 species
AUGCAGAACUGGGGCGAAGAACAGAAAGCAUUAGUUCGUGCGAUGGGCCUUGGUGGGUUACUGCAUCUUCGGAAAACAGGGAAUUUUUUUAUCUCUUUCACACGAUCUCUGCUUGAUAGGAUCGACCCCAAUGACAGUACGAUGAGGCUGCCAGGCGGUGCGAAGUCGAUCUUGGGCGAGAUGGAGAUUUGCUCUUAUAUGGAUAUAAGGAGAGGAGGUUUGACACUGCAGAGGAACGGCAACAGUCCAAGUGAUGAUCACUACAUGAGUGCUAUGUAUCUUCUGGGAAUGGCUCUGAUUCCACAAGAGAUCACUGUGAACGAUGUAGUUAGUAUACUACAAGAACACGUGGACUCGCCGAUGACUCGAGAGUAG